rnacentral:rRNA from 1 species
UACAGAGGUCCCAAGCGUUGUUCGGAUUCACUGGGCGUAAAGGGUGCGUAGACGGCUAUCUAAGUCGGGUGUGAAAGCCCCGGGCUCAACCUGGGAAUUGCAUUCGAGACUGAAUAGCUAGGGUACGGUAGAGGGAAGCGGAAUUUCCGGUGUAGCGGUGAAAUGCGUAGAUAUCGGAAGGAACAUCAGUGGCGAAAGCGGCUUCCUGGACCAGUACCGACGUUCAGGCACGAAAGCGUGGGGAGCAAACAGG